GAGAAGUACAGUUUGUUUGACUCCUUGUCUGGGCAUAGUGAGAGGUAAACCUUGUUUGAAGCCUUGGCUGAGGGUAGUGAGGAGUACAGCUUAUUGGAAGCCUUGUCUGAGGGUAGUGAGGAGUACAGCUUAUUGGAAGCCUUGGCUGAGGGUAGUGAGAAGUUAUUGGAAGCAGGGUAGUGAGGAGUACAGCUUAUUGGAAGCCUUGGCUGAGGGUAGUGAGAAGUACAGCUUAUUGGAAGCCUUGGCUGAGGGUAGUGAGAAGUACAGCUUGGUUAAACCCUUGGCUGGGGGUCG